AACGAACGCUGGCGGCAGGCUUAACACAUGCAAGUCGAACGAGAUCUUCGGAUCUAGUGGCAGACGGGUGAGGAACACGUGGGAACAUCCCUUUCAGUUCGGAAUAACGUUGGGAAACUAACGCUAAUACCGGAUACGUCCUUCGGGAGAAAGAUUUAUCGCUGAAAGAUUGGCCCGCGUCUGAUUAGCUAGUUGGUGAGGUAAUGGCUCACCAAGGCUACGAUCAGUAGCUGAUCUGAGAGGAUGAUCAGCCACAUUGGGACUGAGACACGGCCCAAACUCCUACGGGAGGCAGCAGUGGGGAAUAUUGGACAAUGGGCGCAAGCCUGAUCCAGCCAUGCCGCGUGAGUGAUGACGGCCUUCGGGUUGUAAAGCUCUUUUAUCCGGGACGAUAAUGACGGUACCGGAGGAAUAAGCCCCGGCUAACUUCGUGCCAGCCGCCGCCGUAA
rnacentral:rRNA from 1 species